GUGGGGAAUAUUGGACAAUGGGCGAAAGCCUGAUCCAGCCAUGCCGCGUGUGUGAAGAAGGUCUUCGGAUUGUAAAGCACUUUAAGUUGGGAGGAAGGGCAGUAAGUUAAUACCUUGCUGUUUUGACGUUACCGACAGAAUAAGCACUGGCUAACUUCGUGCCAGCAGCCGCGGUAAUACGAAGGGUGCAAGCGUUAAUCGGAAUUACUGGGCGUAAAGCGCGCGUAGGUGGUUUUGUAAGUUGGAGGUGAAAUCCCCGGGCUCAACCUGGGAACUGCCUCCAAAACUGCAUGACUAGAGUACGGUAGAGGGUAGUGGAAUUUCCUGUGUAGCGGUAAAAUGCGUAGAUAUAGGAAGGAACACCAGUGGCGAAGGCGACUACCUGGACUGAUACUGACACUGAGGUGCGAAAGCGUGGGGAGCAAACAGGAUUAGAAACCCGGGUAGUCC
rnacentral:rRNA from 1 species